rnacentral:rRNA from 1 species
UGGGGAAUCUUGGACAAUGGGGGCAACCCUGAUCCAGCCAUGCCGCGUGGACGAUGAAGGCCCUAGGGUUGUAAAGUCCUUUCACCGGUGAAGAUAAUGACGGUAGCCGGAGAAGAAGCCCCGGCUAACUCCGUGCCAGCAGCCGCGGUAAUACGGAGGGGGUUAGCGUUGUUCGGAAUUACUGGGCGUAAAGCGCACGUAGGCGGACCAGAAAGUUGGGGGUGAAAUCCCGGGGGCUCAACCCCGGAACUGCCUCCAAAACUAUUGGUCUAGAGUUCGAGAGAGGUGAGUGGAAUUCCAAGUGUAGAGGUGAAAUUCGUAGAUAUUUGGAGGAACACCAGUGGCGAAGGCGGCUCACUGGCUCGAUACUGACGCUGAGGUGCGAAAGUGUGGGGAGCAAACAGGAUUAGAUACCCUGGUAGUCCACACCGUAAAACGAUGAAUGCCAGUCGUCGGGUAGCAUGCUAUUCGGUGACACACCUAACGGAUUAAGCAUUCCGGCCUGGGGAGUACGGUCGCAAGAUUAAAACUC